GGGUCAGUAGGUUGGUCGUGCCACCGGUACGUACUGGUCUCACUGAUUCCUCCUUCCUGAAGAACCGUAAUGCCACUAAUUUGGUGUUGCGGGGAGACAGGACUGUUACUUUGAAAAAAUUAGAGUGUUUAAAGCAAGCUAACGCUUGAAUACAUUAGCAUGGAAUAAUGAAAUAGGACGAUCGAUCCUAUUUUGUUGGUUUCUAGGAUUGACGUA
rnacentral:rRNA from 1 species